rnacentral:tRNA from 1 species
GCCUCCGUAGCUCAGUGGAUAGAGCGCCGGCUUCCGGUGCCGUAGGUCGGGGGUUCGAAUCCCUCCGGGGGCA